GGUCAUUAAUUCAAGCAACAUCUGCACCGAAGUAACUAAAAGCAACUCAAAUCGGAAGUUUUUUGGCUGAUGCCUAUUUGAGAAGACAUGAUACUAGAAAAAUCAGAAUGUCUUUUUGCAUAUAACAAAUCUGCAGUUCACUUGCUUGGGAAAGUCGGUGAGGAUUUGACAUCAAAAAGAGAGGUUGAUUUGAUGGGCAAGGUGCGAUGACUCCAAAUGGGUUUUAGUUGCAUUACAGGAACUGUGAAUAUUUAUACUUCAAUGGGUUUGACAGGAGAAGAGAGAUCGAAUCAAUUGACAGGAUGCUGCUUCUUGAGGAUAAAAGUCAAAAUUCUCAAAACAACAUUACUGACACUUUUGAUAUAUGUACAGCUGCAGUUGGUAAUAGCAUUGAUCAAGAAGCUGGCAAUUUGUUGAAUUCAAGAAGCGGGAAGAAUGCUUUGGAAUCGACUGACGUUUUCCCCAAACCCAAAGACUCCUUAAUUGAAUUGAAAUUCCCAGCUUUUCCUACAGUGAUUGGUAUCAAUCAGAUAUGUGAAAUCUUGCCUCACAGGUUUCCAUUUCUUUUGGUGGGUAGAGAGAUCGAGUACAACUGAUUUUGAGUUUUUGAUGUGAGGAGGAAGAGCAUGGAUAUUGUGUAUAUGAUAAAAGCAAACAUGUUCCAAGCUCAGGGAGAACACUUGCUCAAUGUGGUUUUGCCUUAUCUAUACAGUACAAAGAGGUUCUCUAUUUUAAUUUUUUUGUGUUUUAGUAAGAUACUGAUCAAUACUCUAAUUUCUCAAAAUAGCAUGCUUCCUUUGGUUAGUUUUAUGAGUUUUCCGAUCAACUCAAAACUGG